AGAGUUUGAUCAUGGCUCAGAUUGAACGCUGGCGGCAGGCUUAACACAUGCAAGUCGAGCGGGGAGAUGUAGCUUGCUACAUUUCCUAGCGGCGGACGGGUGAGUAAUGCUUAGGAAUCUGCCUAUUAGUGGGGGACAACAUUCCGAAAGGAAUGCUAAUACCGCAUACGUCCUACGGGAGAAAGCAGGGGAUCUUCGGACCUUGCGCUAAUAGAUGAGCCUAAGUCAGAUUAGCUAGUUGGUGGGGUAAAGGCCUACCAAGGCGACGAUCUGUAGCGGGUCUGAGAGGAUGAUCCGCCACACUGGGACUGAGACACGGCCCAGACUCCUACGGGAGGCAGCAGUGGGGAAUAUUGGACAAUGGGCGAAAGCCUGAUCCAGCCAUGCCGCGUGUGUGAAGAAGGCCUUUUGGUUGUAAAGCACUUUAAGCGAGGAGGAGGCUACUUGGAUUAAUACUCUAGGAUAGUGGACGUUACUCGCAGAAUAAGCACCGGCUAACUCUGUGCCAGCAGCCGCGGUAAUACAGAGGGUGCGAGCGUUAAUCGGAUUUACUGGGCGUAAAGCGUGCGUAGGCGGCUUUUUAAGUCGGAUGUGAAAUCCCUGAGCUUAACUUAGGAAUUGCAUUCGAUACUGGGAAGCUAGAGUAUGGGAGAGGAUGGUAGAAUUCCAGGUGUAGCGGUGAAAUGCGUAGAGAUCUGGAGGAAUACCGAUGGCGAAGGCAGCCAUCUGGCCUAAUACUGACGCUGAGGUACGAAAGCAUGGGGAGCAAACAGGAUUAGAUACCCUGGUAGUCCAUGCCGUAAACGAUGUCUACUAGCCGUUGGGGCCUUUGAGGCUUUAGUGGCGCAGCUAACGCGAUAAGUAGACCGCCUGGGGAGUACGGUCGCAAGACUAAAACUCAAAUGAAUUGACGGGGGCCCGCACAAGCGGUGGAGCAUGUGGUUUAAUUCGAUGCAACGCGAAGAACCUUACCUGGUCUUGACAUAGUAAGAACUUUCCAGAGAUGGAUUGGUGCCUUCGGGAACUUACAUACAGGUGCUGCAUGGCUGUCGUCAGCUCGUGUCGUGAGAUGUUGGGUUAAGUCCCGCAACGAGCGCAACCCUUUUCCUUAUUUGCCAGCGGGUUAAGCCGGGAACUUUAAGGAUACUGCCAGUGACAAACUGGAGGAAGGCGGGGACGACGUCAAGUCAUCAUGGCCCUUACGACCAGGGCUACACACGUGCUACAAUGGUCGGUACAAAGGGUUGCUACCUAGCGAUAGGAU
rnacentral:rRNA from 1 species